rnacentral:rRNA from 1 species
UACAGAGGGGGCAAGCGUUGUUCGGAAUUACUGGGCGUAAAGGGCGCGUAGGCGGCCUGUUAAGUCGAACGUGAAAUCCCCGGGCUCAACCCGGGAACUGCGUCCGAUACUGGCAGGCUUGAAUCCGGGAGAGGGAUGCGGAAUUCCAGGUGUAGCGGUGAAAUGCGUAGAUAUCUGGAGGAACACCGGUGGCGAAGGCGGCAUCCUGGACCAACACUGACACUGAGGAGCGAAAGCCGGGGGAGCAAACGGG